GCCAGAUUCUGGAAGACUGUUUAGCCACAUGCAACCUUUGGCACUGAGUCAGGCAUACUGAGAAGAGUCCUAUGGGGAGUCCUAUGGUCCUAAAGACUGUCUUGGCUGACGGAACCUGUCGAAGGCUCACUCUCUAAUGGAGCGCCUGAAUCAACUGAGGAUCUCAUCGUUGAAGUCAAGAGACAGUGUGGUCUUCAGGGCAGUUUCAGACUUCAGUUUAUGGAUUCCUUGUUUGGGAAUGAGUUUCUUAACCUUACCUCGGUUUCAGAAGUAGCAGACAAAGGGACUCUUAAAGCUAUUGACAUGUCAAAGCCCACCACAUGGACAUAAAAAGAGUAACAGAGAUGGUGAAACUCAAGAUGGAAAAGACUUUUUCAUACAGAAGACAUGAAGUUGUUCGUGAUGCACCAAUGGUGGAGGCUUUCAUGGCAAGAUGGCCUGCUCUAUUUGACUUCCAUGAGAUCAACGCUGAGUUUAAGAGAAUUGCCACCAUCCCCCCUCAAACAAAGUUCCUGGCUCAGCUGGAUCUCCACUUGGACAACCUGGUGAAGUUGGUCAACAGAAGAGGAGGGCUUGGACUAAUACUGAAAAGAAUUGUGGCACAAAUGGAUAAUGGUGAAGAUGAUGAUGCUGGAUGUGAGUGUGUAUCUACAUGGGUGAAGACCCUGGC